GAUGAACGCUGGCUACAGGCUUAACACAUGCAAGUCGAGGGGAAACGGCAUUGAGUGCUUGCACUGAAUGGACGUCGACCGGCGCACGGGUGAGUAACGCGUAUCCAACCUUCCCGUUACUGCGGGAUAACCUGCCGAAAGGCAGACUAAUACCGCAUGUUCUUCGAUGACGGCAUCAGAUUCGAAGCAAAGAUCCGUCGGUAACGGAGGGGGAUGCGUCUGAUUAGCUAGUUGGCGGGGCGACGGCCCACCAAGGCGACGAUCAGUAGGGGUUCUGAGAGGAAGGUCCCCCACAUUGGAACUGAGACACGGUCCAAACUCCUACGGGAGGCAGCAGUGAGGAAUAUUGAUCAAUGGGCGGAAGCCUGAACCAGCCAAGUAGCGUGCAGGAUGACGGCCCUACGGGUUGUAAACUGCUUUUAUGCGGGGAUAAAGUGAGGGACGCGUCCGUUUUUGCAGGUACCGCAUGAAUAAGGACCGGCUAAUUCCGUG
rnacentral:rRNA from 1 species